AUAGAGUUGGGCCCGUCAGUAAGGUGU
rnacentral:piRNA from 1 species